GGGCGCAUAGCUCAGGGGUAGAGCACUCGUCUUACAAGCGAGAUGCCGGUGGUUCGAUUCCACCUGCGCCCACCA
rnacentral:tRNA from 1 species